GCAGUGGCAGCUCAGUGGCAGAGUUCUCGUCUUCCACGCCAGAGACCCAAGUUCGAUUCCCAGCCAAUGCA
rnacentral:tRNA from 1 species